rnacentral:lncRNA from 1 species
GGACACUCAGGCACAGCGAAGCUUAAAGGGACACUAAAGGCAAAUACUAACUCGACGUGGACUGUUUAAAUAACAUCCAGAAACCUCGCAACCCUUG